GCGGCGGACGGGUGAGUAACACGUGGGUAACCUGCCCGUAAGACCGGGAUAACUCCGGGAAACCGGGGCUAAUACCGGAUAACACCGAAGACCGCAUGGUCUUCGGUUGAAAGGCGGCUUCGGCUGCCACUUACGGAUGGGCCCGCGGCGCAUUAGCUAGUUGGUGAGGUAACGGCUCACCAAGGCGACGAUGCGUAGCCGGCCUGAGAGGGUGACCGGCCACACUGGGACUGAGACACGGCCCAGACUCCUACGGGAGGCAGCAGUAGGGAAUCUUCCGCAAUGGACGAAAGUCUGACGGAGCGACGCCGCGUGAGCGAAGAAGGUCUUCGGAUCGUAAAGCUCUGUUGUUAGGGAAGAAGAAGUGCCGUUCGAACAGGGCGGCGCGGUGACGGUACCUAACGAGAAAGCCCCGGCUAACUACGUGCCAGCAGCCGCGGUAAUAC
rnacentral:rRNA from 11 species